rnacentral:rRNA from 1 species
GAUGAACGCUAGCUACAGGCUUAACACAUGCAAGUCGAGGGGUAGCAGGGUAGCAAUACCGCUGACGACCGGCGCACGGGUGAGUAACACGUAUCCAACCUUCCCAUAACUCGGGGAUAGCCUUUCGAAAGAAAGAUUAAUAACCGAUAGUACUUUUUCAAGGCAUCUUGAGAAAGUUAAAGAUUUAUUGGUUAUGGAUGGGGAUGCGCUCCAUUAGAUAGUUGGUGAGGUAACGGCUCACCAAGUCUUCGAUGGAUAGGGGUUCUGAGAGGAAGGUCCCCCACAUUGGUACUGAGACACGGACCAAACUCCUACGGGAGGCAGCAGUGAGGAAUAUUGGUCAAUGGGCGAGAGCCUGAACCUGCCAAGUAGCGUGAAGGAUGAAGGUCCUAUGGAUUGUAAACUUCUUUUAUAGUAGAAUAAAGUGAUCCACGUGUGGAUUUUUGUAUGUAUACUAUGAAUAAGGAUCGGCUAACUCCGUGCCAGCCGCCGCUGUAA